rnacentral:rRNA from 1 species
UCACUUUCAACAACGGAUCUCUUGGCUCUCGCAUCGAUGAAGAACGUAGCGAAGUGCGAUAAGUAGUGUGAAUUGCAGAAUUCCGUGAAUCAUCGAAUCUUUGAACGCAAAUUGCACUCCCUGGUAUUUCGGGGAGUAUGCCUGUUUGAGGGUCAGU